GUGCACCAGGCGCGAAUCUUCGGCAAUGGGCGAAAGCCUGACCGAGCGACGCCGCGUGCCCCGAAGAAGCCUUUUCGGGGUGUAAAGGGCUUUUUCUUGGGGAUAAAUUCGCUCCUCACUUUCGUUCGGAAUUAUAUUGAGAAACGAGCGGAAGUGAGGAGCGAAUGAUAGUACCCAAGGAAUAAGGGACCUCUAAUCAACGUGCCAGCAGAGGCGGUAAUACGUGAGUCCCAAGCGUUAUCCGGAAUUACUGGGCGUAAAGCGUGCGUAGGCGGUCCAAAUAGUCAUGUGUUAAAUCCUUAAGCUCAACUUAAGGGCUGCAUAUGAUACGUUUGGACUAGACCCAGUCAGAGGCCGGCGGAACUCACGGUGUAGGGGGUGAAAUCC
rnacentral:rRNA from 1 species